rnacentral:ncRNA from 2 species
UCAACCAGAAGCCUGCCAGGCAUUCCGGAACCCGGUGCGAAUCCGGGGCGGUCCCGCCGCUGUAAUCGGGGACGGAGAGAGCAAAGGCCAGAGCCGGCCACUGCCGGGGUUUACCCCGGUGGGAAGGCUGACUCCCUCCGGCUGAUCCGAGAGCCAGAAGACCUGCCUGGCGGAUAAUUAAGGC